rnacentral:pre_miRNA from 1 species
UCGUCUGGGGGGUUUGUUAGAUUGCAAAUUCUACUCUGCUAUAGGACUGAGAUUCUGCAUUUCUAACAAACUCUCAGGUGAGGC